CCAAUCAAUAUCUUUGUCAAUCUCUAUUUAUCCUCAUGUCAGAUGAAUCACAUAGUUUGGUAAACAGUUGGUAAAAGAGUUGAAGUUGCAACCAGAUGGAUGAUAUGCCUGCUUUUGAAGGUUCCACCAGAAGAGCAGAAGCUUGCACUCAUUCAACUGUGGUGAAUCUUAUUUUUAUGUUUUUGGAUCAAUUGACCUAUCUAGGUUGGGUUGUAGAGUCAUCUAGGUUUGUUUUUGAGAGAGAUGUAUGUCUAGACUUGGAUUUGAAUUUGUUCAAAUUUGGAUAGCUUGUGAAUUUGGUGGAAGAAUGUUGAUAUUUUUUUAAUGCAAUGAAUUAUUUUAU